UGCCACAGCCAUAUCACCCUGCAGCCCAAGACCGGUUACUCACUGAAGCUAAGCAGGGCUGAGCCUGGUCAGUACCUGGAUGGGAGACCACUAGGAACACUAGGUUGCUGUUGGAA
rfam:Danio rerio chromosome 12, GRCz11 reference primary assembly.